rnacentral:rRNA from 1 species
GUGUCAGCCGCCGCGGUAAUACGGAGGAUGCAAGCGUUAUCCGGAUUCAUUGGGUUUAAAGGGUGCGUAGGCGGCCUUUUAAGUCAGUGGUGAAAUCCUGCCGCUUAACGGUAGAAUUGCCAUUGAUACUGAAAGGCUUGAGUACAUUUGAGGUAAGCGGAAUGUGUAGUGUAGCGGUGAAAUGCUUAGAUAUUACACAGAACACCAAUUGCGAAGGCAGCUUACUAAACUGUUACUGACGCUGAUGCACGAAAGCGUGGGGAGCGAACAGGAUUAGAAACCCUCGUAGUCC